AUACGGAGGGGGCUAGCGUUGUUCGGAUUUACUGGGCGUAAAGGGCGCGUAGGCGGUAUGUCAUGUCAGGGGUGAAAGGCCUGGGCUCAACCCAGGAACUGCCUUUGAAACUGGCAAACUAGAGUCCGAUAGAGGAUGGCGGAAUUCCCAGUGUAGAGGUGAAAUUCGUAGAUAUUGGGAAGAACACCAGUGGCGAAGGCGGCCAUCUGGAUCGGCACUGACGCUGAGGCGCGAAAGCGUGGGGAGCAAACGGGAGUAGAAACCCCAGUAGUCC
rnacentral:rRNA from 1 species